rnacentral:rRNA from 1 species
AACGCGAAGAACCUUACCGGGGCUUGACAUCCUGCGCUAACCUAGGAGACUAGGUUUCCGGGCAACCGGACGCAGAGACAGGUGCUGCAUGGCUGUCGUCAGCUCGUGUGGUGACAUGUUGGGUUAAGUCCCGCAACGAGCGCAACCCUUGUCCUUAGUUGCCAGCAUUCAGUUGGGCUCUCUAAGGAGACUGCCGUGGUUAACACGGAGGAAGGUGGGGAUGACGUCAAGUCCUCAUGGCCUUUAUAUCCAGGGCGACACACGUGAUACAAUGGACGGUACAGAGGGAUGCGAACCCGCGAGGGGGAGCUAAUCUCAAAAAAGCCGUUCUCAGUUCGGAUUGGAGUCUGCAACUCGACUCCAUGAAGUUGGAAUCGCUAGUAAUCGCGGAUCAGCACGCCGCGGUGAAUACGUUCCCGGGCUUGUACACACCGAGACGUA